ensembl:lncRNA
UCUUUCCCUACAAUGGCUAGUGAACUGGAAGUCUUGCAAAUUCACAGAAAGCGGCUUACUUCUGCAUUGAAAAACAAGGUCGGGAGGCCCAAGCUAGACUGCGCCCACCCCUAAACCAGGACCACCUCGAGGAGCGUAUCAGAGGGAAGAGUCGGAGACAGAAUAAAUUUAACAAGUUUUAUUUUGAAGUAAAAGCAAAUUGGAAAUCCUAAUCUAAAAUCUUCUUUGUUGCCCUCAGGGAUCGAAGGUGAACAGUGCAGCGACCGGGGACUCUCCCGCCCUCUUCCUCUGUGCGGGCCCCGCAAUAGAUGGACAGAUGGGUGGUCAAGUAGGGAUUUCACUGGUGGGGAUACGAUCGGCAAGCCAGCAGUCUGAAUCAACAGCAGAAAAAGGAAACAAAUCCACUGAGCAAGAAAGCCAAGGAAAAUAAACCAGACAGUGUGAUGACUCCAUCCCCUUUGUUUCAUAGGGACAGUUGGCCAGCAGGAGGCACCAAGGCAAAAUUUGAUUUAUCUGUGACUUGUAAGUCAAUCAUAUUAACACACUGACAUCAGUGAGACACUUACCAGUCACCAGUCAGUCAUCAUUGCAGACGACCCCAAAAGUAAGUAAAGCAAUGAAUGAAUCCUACAUGUGAAA